rnacentral:rRNA from 1 species
UGGGGAAUAUUGCACAAUGGGCGAAAGCCUGAUGCAGCGACGCCGCGUGAGGGAUGACGGCCUUCGGGUUGUAAACCUCUUUCAGUAGGGACGAAGCGCAAGUGACGGUACCUGCAGAAGAAGCACCGGCUAACUACGUGCCAGCAGCCGCGGUAAUACGUAGGGUGCGAGCGUUGUCCGGAAUUACUGGGCGUAAAGAGCUCGUAGGCGGUUUGUCACGUCGUCUGUGAAAUCCUAGGGCUUAACCCUGGACGUGCAGGCGAUACGGGCUGACUUGAGUACUACAGGGGAGACUGGAAUUUCUGGUGUAGCGGUGGAAUGCACAGAUAUCAGGAAGAACACCGAUGGCGAAGGCAGGUCUCUGGGUAGUAACUGACGCUGAGGAGCGAGAGCAUGGGUAGCGAACAGG